rnacentral:lncRNA from 1 species
GUGGCUCAGUGACAUCAUCAGCAUCUGUGAAUACCGGGUUUGGAGCAGGUGGAUUGGGGUCUUAAGAUUUGACUUGAGUCACGCAGGAAAGACAUUAUCAACAGCAAGAAGACAAGGAAUGAACAUCCAAAAAGAAGAAAGGAGGUGAUCAUGUAGAGGCUAAUAGCUUGAAUUGGGCGCAGAGGUUGAAUAUUGCGGUCGGUGCAGCUCAAGGACUUUGCUAUAUGCAUCAUGAUUGUACUCCUGCGAUCAUACAUAGAGAUGUGAAAUCAAGCAACAUCUUGCUUGAUUAUGAAUUCAACGCCAAGAUUGAUUGCUGAUUUCGUGUUGGCUAAAUUGUUGGUUAAGCAAAACCAACAACCUCAUACCAUGUCAGCUGUUGCUGGAUCCUUCGGUUACAUUGCUCCAGGUAAUUGGCUCUAUUUGAAGUACGUUCAGGUGCUCAAGCCUUAGUCUAUAGGUCUAUGCUGUUAUUGUUUGACAAACUAUGAAUAAAAAUCGAGAAGCUUAACAUUUGUCAAAAAAAAUUUUAAAAAAAAAUUUAACUAUAUGUCAGUUACUAUGAUAAAAAACUUAUUUGAUUAAUAUUUAAUUAUAUAAUUUAUGUCUUUAACUUUUUACUAAAAUACUUUUCCAGAUAAUAAAACAAUAUAUAUAUAUAUAUAUAGAAAUUAUCUUUUUUUUUAAUUCUAUUUUUAGAUUUUGGUUAAUUUAAUAUUCUAUUUUUAAUUAUAUAAUUAAGAAUUUUAUUUGAUUAAUAUUUAGUUAAAUAAUUCAUGUUUUUAACUUUUUACUAAAAGAUUUUUUCAGAUAACAAUACAAUAUAUACAUAAAUUAUCUCUUUUUAAAAUUAUAUUUUCAGAUUUUGGAUAAUUCUUACUAUUAUUAAUUUUAAUCAAUAUAUAAAUUAUCUUUUUUAAUUAUAUUUUUAAUUUUGGUUAAUUCACUAUUCUAUUUUUAAUUAUAUAAUUAAGAAUUAGAUUUGAUUAAUAUUAGUUAUAUAAUUCAUGUUUUUAACUUUUUACUAAAAGAAUUUUUCAGAUAACAAUACAAUAUAUAUAUAAAUUAUCUUUUUUUUUUAAAUUAUAUUUUCAGAUUUUGGAUAAUUCUUAUUAUUAUUAAUUUUAAUCAAUUAUCUAAUCAAAUAAAUUAAGAUUUUGUUUUUAUUUUUUAAUUUAUUUAUACAUUUUAUUCAUUAAAGAUAUAAACGAUAUUAACCAUUCUGACUUUUAACGUGAGAGCUCGAUUCCAAAAAUUUAUUUCGUAAAUAAUAGUAUAGAUAGAUAAUCACAAAAACAUACUUUGGAAAACUUAUGGUUGGUGUUUCAAAAAAAAAAAAAAGGAAAACUUAUGGUUGAUGAUGCUCGAGUAACUUGAUUGGCAAGUUUCUCAAAUAGAUGUCUUUCCUUAUUUUUUUUUUGUAAAAAUUACGUAUAAAAGCGCUGAGAGCACGCCUUUGGGGUUAAUAAGCUUUGCUAAGAAGAUGGAAGAGAUCAAACUCACUUUCCCAGCCGACUCUCCACCGCUUUCGGUCAUCGUUGCUCUCUCCCUCUCAUCCUCUCCG